UGGGGAAUUUUGGACAAUGGGCGAAAGCCUGAUCCAGCAAUGCCGCGUGUGUGAAGAAGGCCUUCGGGUUGUAAAGCACUUUUGUCCGGAAAGAAAUCCUUGGCUCUAAUACAGUCGGGGGAUGACGGUACCGGAAGAAUAAGCACCGGCUAACUACGUGCCAGCAGCCGCGGUAAUACGUAGGGUGCAAGCGUUAAUCGGAAUUACUGGGCGUAAAGCGUGCGCAGGCGGUUUGCUAAGACCGAUGUGAAAUCCCGGGCUCAACCUGGGAACUGCAUUGGUGACUGGCAGGCUAGAGUAUGGCAGAGGGGGGUAGAAUUCCACGUGUAGCAGUGAAAUGCGUAGAGAUGUGGAGGAAUACCGAUGGCGAAGGCAGCCCCCUGGGCCAAUACUGACGCUCAUGCACGAAAGCGUGGGGAGCAAACAGGAUUAGAUACCCUGGUAGUCCACGCCCUAAACGAUGUCAACUAGUUGUUGGGGAUUCAUUUCCUUAGUAACGUAGCUAACGCGUGAAGUUGACCGCCUGGGGAGUACGGUCGCAAGAUUAAACUCAAAUGAAUUGACGGGGUCAUAGCUGUUUCCU
rnacentral:rRNA from 1 species